CCUACGGGAGGCAGCAGUCGAGGAUUUUUCUCAAUGGGGGAAACCCUGAAGGAGCGACGCCGCGUGAGGGAUGAAGGUCUUCGGAUUGUAAACCUCUGUCAUCUGGGAACAAUGUAAUCUACCUAACACGUGGAUUAUUGAUAGUACCGGAAGAGGAAGCCGUGGCUAACUCUGUGCCAGCAGCCGCGGUAAU
rnacentral:rRNA from 1 species